CCCGCCACGCCUCUCAACGAUGCGCAACAGGCGGGU
rnacentral:ncRNA from 1 species